rnacentral:rRNA from 1 species
GUGGGGAAUCUUCCGCAAUGGACGAAAGUCUGACGGAGCGACGCCGCGUGAGUGAAGAAGGCCUUCGGGUCGUAAAGCUCUGUCAUCAGGGACGAACGGCCGGUGGAGUGGAAAGCCACCGGAUUGACGGUACCUGAGAAGGAAGCCACGGCUAACUACGUGCCAGCAGCCGCGGUAAUACGUAGGUGGCAAGCGUUGUCCGGAAUUAUUGGGCGUAAAGCGCGCGCAGGUGGGAUCUUAAGUCCAUUUUUAAAGUUCGGAGCUCAACUCCGUGAUGGGAUGGAAACUGGGAUUCUUGAGUACCGGAGAGGAAAGCGGAAUUCCCCGUGUAGCGGUGAAAUGCGUAGAUAUGGGGAGGAACACCAGUGGCGAAGGCGGCUUUCUGGACGGUGUCUGACGCUGAGAUGCGAAAGCCAGGGUAGCGAACGGGAUUAGAAACCCCGGUAGUCC